GGAGGCUUAGAAAAGUUUUCUGAGCUUGCCAAGGUCAUAGUUUGAAAAUCGCUACACUGGGAUUUGAACUCAAGUCUGUCAGUCUCUAAACCAGGCCCUGCACAUACUUUAAAAAUCUAGUUCCCUGCUCCCCACCGGCUGAAGGCCCCCUUCAGGCACCCAGCGCUCGCGCUUCCCCUGUCGCCCCGUUCUCCGGUCACAUGUUAUCACGACCUGCUCUAGUCCACGAGCACAGCGCGGGAUUACGUAUUCUUGUGCCUCCUCCCCGAGAACGUUCCCCGAUCCCCAUACCCACUCCAACCUCCUUGGCAGAAUCAAUUGUGCCUUCCCUGGUGCUCCCAGCCUGCCUCAGUGGUACCAGGAAACUUACCAAAAGCACCCCACAUUUAAGUAUACAGCUCUCUGCCUCCUUGGACAGGUUCUGGCUCUUUAAGAGGAGAGAUAAUUUCUACAUACCUCUAAUUAUCUAGAGAAUAAAAUUAGACAUUUUAUCUUUAAUCCCUAGAACUUCAUCAUCAAUGAAUAAACGCUGGUUGAAUGUUUCUUGUAGACUCACACCUUUCCAAUCUACUUUUUAUGAUAGUCCCACAGGGAGAACUCAGAAACACAAAUCAGAUUGGGUGUUUAUUUAGAAGGAGUCAUAGUUUCUUUUUUUCUUCUUCUUCUUCUUCUUACAGCCGCACCUACAGCAUAUGGGAGUUCCCGGGCUAGGGGUCAAAUCGGAGCUGCAGUUGCUGGGCUACCUCAUAGCUCAUGGCAACUCCAGAUCCUUAAUCCAAUGAGCGAGGCCAGGGAUCAAACCCACAACCCCACUGACACUAUGUCAGGUUCCUAACCACUGAGAUACAAUGAGAACUCCCAUGACUUCUUGUUCAUGUACCGGAUUUUAAGGUCCAAACUCCUCUGCGUGGCAUAUGCAGCCAGUACCCUACUUCCCAUCAACUUCUCUCCCUCCCACAUGCCAGGCACAGACGGCAUCAGCCACACUUAGUUGCUGGGCCUUUGCACUGCUUCUCUGUCUUCCUAGAGUGCCUCUCUCCCUCUUCAAUAACCCCUGCUCAUUUUUCAUGACCCAGAUCAAGUGUCAUCUAUUCUUUGAAAGGUUCCCCACUAGAGGAGAGUUGACCUCUCUUAUUUUGGAGCUGCCAUGUAAUGAUCAUAAUAGUUAAAAGUCACAUAGCAUUUACUAUGUAGCAUCCACGUUGUAAGUACUUUAGAUGUGUGACACUGUUUAACCCCACGAAAGAGAGGCAUGCACUGCCACUCUACCCAUUUUUCAGGUAAGGAAAUUAAGACACGGGGAGGAUACUGGGACACCCUUGCCUCGGAUCACAGUGCUACUAGGCCGAGUUCUGGACUUGAACCAGGAGAGGCUGAAGGUGGAGUUUGGGCUUUUCACCACGCUACGACACUGGGUCACCAUACUUCGUCUCCAGCUCUUUCACUAGGGCACAGAUCACUCUGUAUCUCAAUUAUUGCUCUAAAUGUCUCUUCUCUUCCACGUGCGCAUUCCUAAAGGUCCCAUCUAAAGGGACCUGUCUGAUCCCUCUUUAUCUGCCCGGGCCCUGGCCAUGGUGCCCAGGACACACAGAGAUUUGAUGCUCUUGUCAAAUGAAUUGAUAAACAUCAGUCUUCUGCAAGAGCCCUGCAGUAAGGCGAUGACAGGGGUUUUGAUGAGUCCGUGAUGUGCUCGUCACAAAAAACAGAUGCUCACAAACAAGAAAAGGCGGUAUUCCUGACAGAGCCGUGGUCUCCAGUCCUAAGCUUAGUCCUACGUUUCUCUCGCUUUAGGUGUCCGGUGCAUCAUGGCACUUUUCUGUACCCGCUUUGUGAUAAAGACCCACUUUUCCAACUACCAGAGUCUCGAGAGUUUACAAACGAGGCACUGUUGCUUCGUCUAAAGUCUAAGAAACACAGCGGGGCUGAGGUAUCCCUUCCCUUCUCAACCGCGGGAUCGCCCUGGGCCGCAAGGCUCAGUUCUCAAACCUCUCCUUUCCUCUUCUCUCUCCCACUCAGUCCUAAAGUGAUUUAUUUGAUCUUUGGAGAAAAGCAUUCCCAACGCUGAGAUUUGCAAUGUGUCACUCCUAGAGGCUCAGUACUUAUAAACCUCUCAGUCUUACAGGCCUGCAUUUGCGUGGCUGUACGUCUGCAAGUCCUCUGAAUGAAGACUCACCCUACCUCCUCUGCUUAGAGGCCCAGAGUUUAUUUUACUCUAGACGUAGAGAGGCUCUGUCCUCUCUCCGGGGGACUCUGACUUCCUCCUCCGCGAGGCCAGGAAGGCAACAGUGCAUGUGAGCACAGGGACAGGCAGCAGUCGCCACAGGCACUAGAACCGCCCCACAGGGGACGAGGGACCACGCCCUGCUCUUGGUUCUUCUGUUGAAAAAGCAAGCAGCGAAACAGAGCCGCAGACUUUUAAAGGAUCUCUUUGCAAAUAGAGGCUGAAACCGUAAGGUGCUUUGGUUUGUUGGAAGCUUUAUUUAUUCUUUGGCCUGGGUUUGGAAGGACAACAUUUUGGAGCCUCCCUUACCGGUAGUUAGUCAAUGAUCACUAAGGUAAUUGGGUUUCCUGAUGUGAUGGAUUAGAGCGCCCGGGAAGAUGUCACUCUCAAAUUUAAUCUCUCCGAGCUCAAAGCACCAUCGUUCUUGGUCCAAAGAAAGACAAAGUCAGAUGCAGGAGAAGGGAAGGAUACUGUGCAGGUUAUAAAAAGCUUUCAUUGGUCAAUUUAGGAGGGCAAGUAAAGUUUCGUGAAAAUGAUUUAUAAUUAAGGUAUUUGGCAUAAUGUUAAAAAAUAGAAAAUUUAGAUUUCUUGUUGACUUCACUGUAAUCUAGCAACUAAAGGCAAAUUGCUGUGAUUUCUAUCUCAUUUUGAAGAAAAAUUAACAAUGCAUUUCAUCAGCAAAUGUACAUUUUGGUUAUGAGACACUGUUGACAUUAUGAAAAUUAUGUGCUGGAAAAUCACAACAACCUCAAUCCCUUGAGCUUUAAAGACAUGAAGGCAAGUCUGGAGUUCCCACUGUUAAGAAUCCAACUGCAGCAGCUCAGGUCGCUGUGGAGGUGCGGGAUUGAUCCCCAGCCCAGCGCAGGGUGUUAAAGGAGCCUGUUGUCGGCGCCACAGCUCGGACUCAAUCCCUGGCCUGGGAACUCCCAUAUGCAGUAGGUGCAGCCAUAAGAAUUUUUUUAAGAAUGAAGACAAGUCUAAUAGAAAUCAAACUAAUAGGAAUCUUAAAAAUAUCUUUAAGUUUACCAGUUUUAUAUUUAUCUUUGAUUUUUUGUUUGUUCCUAUGGGAAUCUAUGAUAAAACUUGAAGAAUGUUUAUUUAUGUUCUUUCAGUGUCAAGAAAGCUACUAUUUUUGAAAGUCCCAAUAAGUUUUUCCUAAAAAGUACUGAUGUUUUUCAGAAAUUAAGUUUUGGUUAGACGAGAGAACACCAUGAUGAACCAACAUUAGUUCAGGUCUAAUUCUAAUUCAUCUCGAGGUUGCCUUCCCCACGCCCUUCUCAGCCUUUCUUGAUAGGCUGCCCCUGAAGUUUUGAAUAGAGCAUGAAAUUAAGACUUCAAGGCGACAGGGAAUUCCUGCUGUGGCUCAGCAGAAACAAACCCGACUAGGAAUCACGAGGAUUUGGGUCAGAUCCCUAGCCUCACGCAGUGGGUUAAGGAUCUGGCGUUGCCAUGAGCUGUGGUGUAGGUCGAAGAUACAGCUCGGAUGCCACAAAUGCCUUGGCUGUGGUGUAGGCCAGCAGCUGCAGUUUUGAUUCAACUCCUGGCCUGGAAACCUCCAUAUGCCGCGAGUGCGGCCCUGAAGAGACAAAAACAAACAAACAGAAUUUAAGGCACGGUGUGGCCAUUCCUGUGCUGGUUAGCAACCCAAUGCCCACUCAACACCUACCGCCAUCCCCAAAUGUCCCAGGCUGCCUUACUGACCAUGAGAUAUAGUUCUGAUCAGUGAGAUAUAUGCUUGUAUUAGGUGGGAUUUCUAGGAGAGCUUUUGUGUCUCCUGAUUAAAAAGGCAGGGGGGGGGGGGCAUAUAUUUGGCUGACACAGCCCUUCUUCCCUCCUCAACUACUUAAAUGGAAUACAGACACUUGGCCUGGAGGUGCAACAGCUACCUUGUAACCAAGAGGCCAUAAGCAAGAGCAUUGAGGCAUAUACAGAGAAGGCAUGGCAGAGCAAACCAUAGAAAAAGUUUGGUGCCUGCUGGGACCCCUGAAGUAUCCUACCAGCCCUGAGCAACCCAGCUCUGCACUUCUUAUCGUGUAAAAUAAACAAACCCAUCUCUUGAAGCCACUGUUAGAUUUUCUGGUACUGUCAGCCCAACAGACCUUUGACGAUUAAAGGAACUGCCUGAUGAAAGUAUGAAGGAGGGGGAAUAAUAACAAAGUCAUCAAUUUUUAGAAACACGAGCAACGCAAAAUAAAACAGGAGAGCCAAGGAAGGUCUUCAAGACGCAAAAAUCCAGCCGAGUCCACCUUUCCCGACAACACCUGCACUGACCGAGUUCUUCAAGGGAGCAGCUGAAGAGGUUCCUGAGACAGUGUCUCAGCGAACUGAGGUCCUGCUACACCAUUUCGCAUUUUGAAAUGAAACAUCUAUAGAAUCUUUUCAGUCAAAACCUGUGUGGCUUAGGUUAUAAUGGGGCAGGUAGGAGGCGGGGGAAAGAGUGCAGAGGCAGGCUUACAGGUGGAGAAGCUAAGAUUUCUAAAUCUUGAUUCUAUUUACAGUGGGCCCUCCGUACCUGAGGGUUCUGCCUCCCCAGGUUCAACCAAUCUCAGAUCGAAAAUAUUGGGGGGAAAAAAUAUUUCCACAACGUUCAAGAAAGCACAACUUGAAUUUGUCACAUGCUGGCAACCAUUUGCAUGGCAUUUACAUUGGACUAGGUAUUAUAAGUAACCCAGAGAUGAUCUGACGCGUACAGGAGGAUGUGUGUAGGUUCUAUGCAAAUACUGUGCCAUUUUAUGUAAGGGACUUGAGCAUCCUUGGAUUUUGUUAUCCUGAGGGUCCUGGAACGAAGCAGAUACCAAAGGAUGACUGUAGUUAGUUUCCAAUGUUCUAUGUGGGGGAAAAAAAAAAA
rnacentral:lncRNA from 1 species